UCCUCUCACCAUGAUCUCUCUCCUCCAUCAAUCUUCUUUAUUAAAUAAAAUCUCUUUGAUCUUGAUCCUUCUUUUGCCAUAGAAGGUGGAUCCUAAUGCUCUAUCUCUCCCACCAUAAAUACCACAUCAAGCUUGGAUCUCGUAAGAAGGUAAUGAGCCUUCUUCCCCUUCUUGUCUUGUAUUUUUUAUCUAUCAUCAAGAAAAUUUGUGGAUUAGGGUUUC
rnacentral:lncRNA from 1 species